AAGAUGGCUUAAGUAGAAGAAAGUGUGCUAAAUCAAAAUUCAGCAUGUGACAAGAAGACUUGAAUUGCUUUUGAUGUCAUUUCCUCCAGCUGAUCCUCAACAGGAUGCAUUUACGGUCCUCAUCUCUUGCCACUUCUUUUGCCACUACGAACCAGUAUGAUCAGUGUUAUAAUCAGUCUAACUUUCCUGCUUUACUGGACUCCAGUUUUAGCCGGAGAGAAUGGAGUCACCCAAAACCCCAGUGUUGCCUGGCAUCUGAAAGGAGAAGCUGCUGAAAUGAAGUGCAGUCAUAAUAAAGGUGUUAGCUAUUAUCAGAUGGAUUGGUACAGACAGCGCCAAGGAGAGAGUAUGGAGCUCAUCGUGUACACAUCGACCAGCAGUGAACCAGAGUUUGGCUCUGUUGAUAAAAAGAAAUUUUCUGCUGUUAAAGAAAUUGCUGCAGAUGGAUCUUUAACUGUGAAGGAUGUGGAUACAGAGGACAGCGCUGUAUAUUUCUGUGCAGUAAGAGAACACAGUGUUACAGAGCUACUGCACUGCUGAACAAAAACACCUGCACUGAUGUUACUGCACUAACUAAUAAAACAGACAGAGGGAGUCCUAAUGUAAUAAAUAAUCAGAGUAAUCUCUUUUCCUUUUUCAAAACUGGGCAGUGGAACUCAAAACAUGUCUCACUAUUCCAGACUAUUAUCAUAUAGACUGUCCACUGGAGAUGGAACAAUAACAUAAUAAUAAUAACUCAGUUAAAUAUUAUUGGAGUGCAGUGGAAUCCAUGUGUACUUUUCAGCUGAAUACAUGCCAGGACAUGACUGUAUAAUACUGUACAAUAAUUCAGUACAGAAUGGUUAUAAACCUUUACUAUCAUCCAGAGAAAUAGCAUUGUAUAAACACUGCAGCUAGCUUAAGCUCAUCCUAUAAUAUAAAAUUGACUUCUACCCUCAUUUGUUUGAUCACUCAUUCGACUUUGCAGUGAUAUCAUUUAGCUCUGUUUCAAAAGGAGGGAUUUUGUACAACAUUACUGCAUCAGUCAUACCAUAGCAUAGCAUACCAGUAAUCCAACAUUUUCUGUUAAUCUUAAAUUACGAAAAAUAACGUGAUAAAGCUGUUAUGGAAAAUGCUAAAUAAAUGUCUCUUUUUAACCUGUUUAUAUGGAGCAUCUUCCAUGCAAGUCCCUGUGUAAGCUGUUAUUAUAGUAACAAUAAUAUAUUAGAAUAAUUACAUUAAUAUAAACCUUGUAGCUGGCACUACUAUCAAUACCUUCUGACUAAUCAAAAUCAAGCAUUAAAUAAUGCUGGGGUAAUUUUUAAUGCAUUGUUAGAACCUUUUUUUUUUUUUUUUUUUUGACAACCACCAUUGAGCUACUUUUGGAAAAGGACUAUUGCUAUUUUCUGAUAAUCUGUACAAGUAUUGUACAUCAGACUGUGACGUGCAUCAUUAAAUUUGAAAAACUUAAGCAAGGACAGUGUUCUUUCCACUUUGGCCUAAUUUCUAUACUUCUCAACACAGAUGCAGUUCUUAUUUUCCUCAUAUGUGGCACUGUGCUGUUAAAUUGUGGGAGGAAACCUGAUCACAUGUUUUACUACAUCAGACACUUAAGUGCAAUAUCAGCUCAGUUUAAAACAGACAUUCAGACUUUCAACAUGAUCCGAGCUGCCAGUGUUAUAUGGGUUUUAAUGAUAUGUCCCGGAGGGUUUUCUCAGAGUAAUCGUGUCAUCCAGAAUCCUCCUGAUCUCUUUGGCAACCAUAAAGAAUCUGUUAAAAUCCAGUGUGAACACAGUGUACCAAAUUAUAAUCAAAUCAAC